GACGAACGCUGGCGGCGUGCUUAACACAUGCAAGUCGAACGGAAAGGCCCUGCUUUUGUGGGUUGCUCGGGUGGCAAACGGGGGAUAAACCCGUGAUUACCCUCCCCUUAACUUUGGGAUAACUUCAGGAAACUGGGGCUAAUACCGGAUAGGAGCUCCUGCUGCAUGGUGGGGGUUGGAAAGUUUCGGCGGUUGGGGAUGGACUCGCGGCUUAUCAGCUUGUUGGUGGGGUAGUGGCUUACCAAGGCUUUGACGGGUAGCCGGCCUGAGAGGGUGACCGGCCACAUUGGGACUGAGAUACGGCCCAGACUCCUACGGGAGGCAGCAGUGGGGAAUAUUGCACAAUGGGCGGAAGCCUGAUGCAGCAACGCCGCGUGCGGGAUGACGGCCUUCGGGUUGUAAACCGCUUUCGCCUGUGACGAAGCGUGAGUGACGGUAAUGGGUAAAGAAGCACCGGCUAACUACGUG
rnacentral:rRNA from 1 species